GAAGCCUCCAGGGCCUGGUCUACCUCGUCCACAUUAAGGUUUCUGCGGUGGCGGCGCUAAAUGGGCCUCGAGUAACCGAACCCUGCCUCUGCACCGGCCUGAACCUCUCUGUGUCAGCCGUGUAUCAGGCGACAGGUCUGUGGAGGACUGAGGGGUGCCUGUGUCAAGCGGUGGGAGAAAGUGGGGUAGGCGUGCAGCGCUGGGGGAAGAGUCGAGGGACUGGUCUGGCAGCGAGGAGGCUGUGGUUACUCAAAAGACUUGCCCACAGUACCUUGCAGUGAGGGUGCCAACCCACGGGAGAAGAUGGCAAGAGUGGGUGGGGGUGGGGUGGGGUGGGAGACACCACACUCGCAACCUCAGAGAGACAGAGAUGUAGCUGGAAGGGAGAGAGAGAGAGAGAGAGAGGGAGGGCGGAGAAGAGAAGGAGGGAAAGAGAGAGAGAGGGGGAGAGAGAGGGAGGGCGGAGAAGAGAGAGAAAGGGGGAGGGAGGAGAAGAGAGAGAGGGGGGGGGGGGGGAAAUGUUGUUUGUGUUGGAACACGUUUGCAGUGACACUUCAAAGUUGUGGCCGAUGAGUGGGGGGGAGGGGGGGCAGAUUCUGGGCGCAGAUGAGGGGAAUUGAUCAAAUUAGUUGAGGCGAAGUCUUCGCACGUUGGAAGUGGCUUUUAAAACAGGGCUGGAAUUUUUAAAGGGGAAAAAAAGGAAGAGAUGAAAAAAAAAAAAAAAAAAGAGGAAAAAAAAUCCCAAACUGUCAGAAAUUAGGAGCGGAGAGGAGCGCAGCACACUGAGCACUCUUUGUCAGGCCUUCAGUGGGACCAGCAGGCAUAUGGAACAUGUUACAAGCGCUCGGGGACCCAGUGGAAAGAGUUUUGGUCUUUUUCAUGUGAGGUGUGUGUGUGUGUUGUGCACAGUGUGUGAGGAGUAUGUGUGUAAGUGGGCAUGUGUUUUUUGCAUGUAUGCGAGCAGCUUGUGUGUGCGUGAAUGAAUUUGUGUGCAUGUUGUGUGUGAUGUAUAUGCGAGUGAAUCUGAGUUGUGUGUGUGUGUGUGUGUUUGUGUGUGUGUGUGUUUGUUUGUGUUUCA
ensembl:lncRNA